rnacentral:rRNA from 1 species
UACGUAGGGUGCGAGCGUUAAUCGGAAUUACUGGGCGUAAAGCGUGCGCAGGCGGUUUUGUAAGUCAGAUGUGAAAUCCCCGGGCUUAACCUGGGAAUGGCAUUUGGGACUGCAAGGCUGGAGUGUGGCAGAGGAGACUGGAAUUCCCGGUGUAGCGGUGAAAUGCGCAGAUAUCGGGAGGAACACCGGUGGCGAAGGCGGUUCUCUGGGCCUGACCUGACGCUGAGGAGCGAAAGCGUGGGGAGCGAACAGG